rnacentral:rRNA from 1 species
UGGGGAAUUUUGGACAAUGGGCGCAAGCCUGAUCCAGCCAUGCCGCGUGCGGGAAGAAGGCCUUCGGGUUGUAAACCGCUUUUGUCAGGGAAGAAACGCUCUGGGCUAAUACCCUGGGGUAAUGACGGUACCUGAAGAAUAAGCACCGGCUAACUACGUGCCAGCAGCCGCGGUAAUACGUAGGGUGCAAGCGUUAAUCGGAAUUACUGGGCGUAAAGCGUGCGCAGGCGGUUAUGCAAGACAGAUGUGAAAUCCCCGGGCUCAACCUGGGAACUGCAUUUGUGACUGUAUAGCUAGAGUACGGUAGAGGGGGAUGGAAUUCCGCGUGUAGCAGUGAAAUGCGUAGAUAUGCGGAGGAACACCGAUGGCGAAGGCAAUCCCCUGGACCUGUACUGACGCUCAUGCACGAAAGCGUGGGGAGCAAACAGGAUUAGAUACCCACGUAGUCCCUGAGCGGGCUGGCAAGGCGCAU